ACUCAUAUUUAAUUCUGUUUUCAUUGUGUGUUUCAGUUAUUGUAGUUUAGUAAAUAACCUUUUUGAAGGAACCAUAUGUUUUUAUGCAACUAGUUUUUUGUUCAAUUGUUAUUAAAGGUUUAUUUUUCUUUCCAAUCUAACACUAGGCUAUCUUCCCAUACACUAGUUUAGGAAAUUUGAGAAAAUUGACAUUUAUAAUAUAAAGCACAAAGUAAGCCGUUUGUAUGUAAGUAAGUCCUAAAAAAAAAUCAAAACCGUUUGACCAAUUUUGAUAACACUUGGCAUAAAUUUUCCAUAGAUCAUGGCAGAGAACAUAAUAUUUAAUGUCCCUCUUACAACCGAAGGGUCCUAAAAAAUAGAAAAAAUAAGUAGCCUAUUAAAUCCCUAUUAAAGAACAAAAUUAAACAAAUCGGGAACCGGUUUUCACAAAAUUUUAUAUGAAUUAGUCAGCUGAACUUGUAAACCCAUUUUCACUUUCUACUUUUAUUAUUGUAGUAAAAUUUGUUUAAAGUGAGGGGAACAUUCUCCAUGUUUGAAAUAGACCUAAAUUCAGUCCAGUCGGCCUGCAUGCUGUGGGUCAUAUCCAGCUAGUAUAUAUAUAUAUAUAUAUUGUUAGACACCUUAUUUAUAUAGGUUAGUUAUUUUAGUUAUUUAGCGACGCACCAUAGUAGACGCAUAUUGAACGGGACUAGUGACGUUUGGGAUAUGUUGGGUUAGAGACCGGAAAAUCAGUUAGCGUUAGAACACUCCAGGGUAACGACGUGUUUAGUGACAGAGACUUCUACUGUGGCCUUUUAUCAUAAUAAAUAUAUAUUAACUUGUUCAUCAUCGUUGACUACAUCUCUUCACCUGUUACAAUUGAUGUGCCAGUUCUUGUUUGUAUUGUUGUGCAACUACACGUAAUACACCCGGACAAUUACACCCAAACGAUUGCAGAGUAAUUGGUUGACUUCAAGACAGCCUGAACUAGCAACAUCACAGUGGCGACCCCGAACCUCGAAGCCGAACCUCGAAGCCGAACAUCGUACCGGACCUCGAAGCAGAACGUUUACUCAGGUGAGGGUCGUGCACUCGAAGAUAUAAGAUUUCAUCGGAGUACGGCUGAACACAGCAGUAUCGCAGGGUGACUUUGUUCUAGAUCUACAUACAGUCGUCGUCUGUUUGAUCGCACGUUCAACGAGCCGUUAACUCAGGGUGACCUUCGUCAGGACCGUAAUCAUCGCAACGCCUGAUCUUCAUAUGCUGAACCGACCUACAACCAGAGAAACCGUUCAUUCAUAACGGGUGAGAGAUCGUUAGUGAACCUGUUGGACAUAUUUUUUCUUCGUCAUAGGAGCCACAUUGAGUAUCAAGUUUUACCUCGUCAGUUUCGAGAAGGACAGUUUGCCCGCUGUCAGAAGUAUUGUGAGUACUACAAGUUUGGUAGCUAACUAAAUCGAAAUCGCUCUGUCGUCUUACCCUUGGAGAGAUUCUUGUGGAGCAGUUUGCUCAUUGAACCGGUUGCUUGCCACGUUUAUAACGGUCACUGUGUUUAACCUUUGGAAGGUUAGUGAAGUAAUCUUUAUCAUUACUGAACAUUGAUAUAUCUAGUAUUCGUCGGUCUAGACCAUACCUAGACUUGUUAGCAGUGAAGUUGUGGAAACAGCUACAUCCACUUAAUUUCGUUGAAAACCGUUAAUCGUGUAACGGAACGUCGUUGGAGGUGACCUUGGUUUCACCUAGUCUACAUUGGACAGUUUGGUCUAAUGAAGCAGAGUACAACAGCAAACUUCGUCGUACUACCAGAGUAGCAGCAGAAGCAGUGAACUAUUUUAGAGAACCGUUAUUCGUCAGCCCAGAUCAAGUCAUCGUCGAGAAAGUCGUUAUUCGUCAGCCCAGAUCAAGUCAUCGUCAAGAAAGCCGUUAUUCGUCAGCCCAGAUCAAGUCAUCGUCAAGAAAUUCGUUAUUCGUCAGUCGUCCAGAUCAAGUUGCCGUCAAGAGACUGUUAUUUGUCAGUAGUCGUCUACACAAGUCAAGUCAUCGCCAGAAGAACCGUUAACCUAUUCGUCAGUAACUGUGUACACAAGGUCGUCGGAACUACACAUACGCUCAUCAACAGUCGUCGAAGAAACUGGAACAUUUUGCUGUGGCAUAUCAGGACAUCUGUGGCAUUACGUGGGAUACUGGUAGCACCGGAGAACAGAGUCAGAACUGGAAGAGAGGCAGUGGAAUUUGUUGUGAUCUAGCAUAUUCGGGAGUCCGAACAAAGGGAUCUUUCUUAUCAAAAGCUAAGUGCCAUUUUUCUUAUUAGUAUAUGUUUAGAUUGCCCUUAGAAAUAGAUUUUGUCUAAAUUUGGUACGUUAGCCUGAGUAAAAUCAGGUGGUGCGCCUUAAAACCCGUCGGGGUAGAAGACGUAAUUUAGAUGAAAAGCUAUAUUAUACGUUUAGGGUUGUAAUUUGUUUUGUUUGUGUAAACGUCAUAUCCGUUGUUGCCUGGUUACUUCGUGACGUUAUCAUUGUGUGCCAUAUUGUCACAUCCCAACCCAUAGUGAUAGUCUCAUUUUAAUUAUUUCAUUUGUUUAUAUUAUUUUAAAUUAUUUAUUUUUAUUAAUUUAAUUAGAUCUGUAAUUUUUUUCACUUAAUGAUAGAAAGUGCGGGUAGGAUUCUUUUACUGUGAAUCAGACUAAAAUAAUUUUAGUUUGAGCGGUUAAAAUCAAAUAUGAUUUUGCCAUGAGAAUAAUGCCGAAACUGGCUAUGUAGUCAAACACUAUCGUCUGGCUAAAUCUAGAUCUGCAAAUUGUUGUACAUCUCUUUGGUACAAUUUAAUUAUCUAGACUCUACUUUGAAAUAUUAUUAAGUUGAAGAUGAAUGAAGAUUACUGCCAGUGAAGAACAUUUGAGAUGUGUAGGACAUGCCCAUAGGAUGCCACAUUUUCCUCUAUGAUGAACUGUAUACCAAUGAAGAUGAUUCUGGAAUGUUAUGAACUGUUAUGAACAUUGACAUGAAUAUGAGGAACUGUCAAGAUGAAGAUGUCAAGAUGAAGAGAUCAAGAUUUUAUGUUUGUGGUCUUCCCCUUAAAUUGAAAAUGCCCUUGUAAGACUUGACAGUAGUGGAAAAAUAUUGACAUAUUUUUUUUUCAAGGGGGGGAGGAAUCUGUUAGACACCUUAUUUAUAUAGGUUAGUUAUUUUAGUUAUUUAGCGACGCACCAUAGUAGACGCAUAUUGAACGGGACUAGUGACGUUUGGGAUAUGUUGGGUUAGAGACCGGAAAAUCAGUUAGCGUUAGAACACUCCAGGGUAACGACGUGUUUAGUGACAGAGACUUCUACUGUGGCCUUUUAUCAUAAUAAAUAUAUAUUAACUUGUU